UACGGGGGGGGCAAGCGUUGUUCGGAAUUACUGGGCGUAAAGGGCUCGUAGGCGGCCAACUAAGUCGGAUGUGAAAUCCCCAGGCUCAACUUGGGAACUGCAUCCGAUACUGGAUGGCUUGAAUUCGGGAGAGGGAAGCGGAAUUCCCGGUGUAGUGGUGAAAUGCGUAGAUAUCGGGAGGAACACCAGUGGCGAAGGCGGCUUCCUGGCCUGUUCUUGACGCUGAGGCGCGAAAGCUAGGGGAGCAAACGGG
rnacentral:rRNA from 1 species